rnacentral:rRNA from 1 species
AUUGAACGCUGGCGGCAGGCCUAACACAUGCAAGUCGAGCGGAUGAAGGGAGCUUGCUCCUGGAUUCAGCGGCGGACGGGUGAGUAAUGCCUAGGAAUCUGCCUGGUAGUGGGGGAUAACGUCCGCAAACGGGCGCUAAUACCGCAUACGUCCUGAGGGAGAAAGUGGGGGAUCUUCGGACCUCACGCUAUCAGAUGAGCCUAGGUCGGAUUAGCUAGUUGGUGGGGUAAAGGCCUACCAAGGCGACGAUCCGUAACUGGUCUGAGAGGAUGAUCAGUCACACUGGAACUGAGACACGGUCCAGACUCCUACGGGAGGCAGCAGUGGGGAAUAUUGGACAAUGGGCGAAAGCCUGAUCCAGCCAUGCCGCGUGUGUGAAGAAGGUCUUCGGAUUGUAAAGCACUUUAAGUUGGGAGGAAGGGCAGUAAGUUAAUACCUUGCUGUUUUGACGUUACCAACAGAAUAAGCACCGGCUAACUUCGUG